AACGAACGUUGGCGGCAGGCUUAACACAUGCAAGUCGAGCGCCCCGCAAGGGGAGCGGCAGACGGGUGAGUAACGCGUGGGAAUCUACCCAUCUCUACGGAAUAACGCAUGGAAACGUGUGCUAAUACCGUAUACGUCCUUCGGGAGAAAGAUUUAUCGGAGGUGGAUGAGCCCGCGUUGGAUUAGCUAGUUGGUGGGGUAAAGGCCUACCAAGGCGACGAUCCAUAGCUGGUCUGAGAGGAUGAUCAGCCACACUGGGACUGAGACACGGCCCAGACUCCUACGGGAGGCAGCAGUGGGGAAUAUUGGACAAUGGGCGCAAGCCUGAUCCAGCCAUGCCGCGUGAGUGAUGAAGGCCCUAGGGUUGUAAAGCUCUUUCACCGGUGAAGAUAAUGACGGUAACCGGAGAAGAAGCCCCGGCUAACUUCGUGCCAGCCGCCGCAGUAAUAC
rnacentral:rRNA from 1 species